rnacentral:rRNA from 1 species
GGCUUUUUGAAAUUAAUUUAAAGUUUUACCUGCCCACUGAUAAUUUGAAUGGCCCCGGUAUUUUGACCGUGCUAAGGUAGCAUAAUCAUUAGUUUUUUAAUUGAAAGCUGGAAUGAAAGGUUUGAUGAGAAAAUUACUGUCUYUAAUUAAAAAUUAGAAUUUUAUUUUUAAGUUAAAAAGCUUAAAUUUUAUUAAAAGACGAGAAGACCCUAUAGAGUUUUAUAAAUAUUAUUUGUUUAAAUUUUUUAGAAAUUAGAAUUUAAAUAAUUAUUUUUAUUUGAUUGGGGUGAUUAAAAAAWUUAAGAAACUUUUUUUAUUUUGAUUCAUUAAUUUAUGUGUAGUUGAUCCAAUUUUUUUUGAUUAAAAGUUUAAAUUACCUUAGGGAUAACAGCGUAAUUUUUUUUGAGAGUUCUUAUCGAAAAAAGAGAUUGCGACCUCGAUGUUGGAUUAAAACUUAUUUUUGGUGUAGCAAGCUA